GAUCCUGGCUCAGGAUGAACGCUAGCUACAGGCUUAACACAUGCAAGUCGAGGGGGCAGCAUGAACUUAGCUUGCUAAGUUUGAUGGCGACCGGCGCACGGGUGAGUAACACGUAUCCAACCUGCCGAUGACUCGGGGAUAGCCUUUCGAAAGAAAGAUUAAUACCCGAUGGUAUAGUUCUUCCGCAUGGUAGAACUAUUAAAGAAUUUCGGUCAUCGAUGGGGAUGCGUUCCAUUAGGUUGUUGGG
rnacentral:rRNA from 1 species